UCGACCCAACCCAAACAACAACGAAACAAAGGAUUCAGUAAAAUGAACCAUAGCAUUUCUCAAAAAAGGAAAUCAUCGUCUCCCUAAUCUUCUUCCAGUCUCCUCAAUUUUCUGAAACAAGCGUUAUACUGAGAAUGAAACUCAAACCGCAUGACUAAAUCACCCUAUUUCGGUUCAAAGAACUCUCUUUCUCAGUUCAAAAACCUUUCUCUCAGUCCUAAAUCUAACAAAUCUCAGUUUGAAAUCUCCCUCACAUCUCACCAAAAUGGUUGACCGCCUCCUACCCCUCCCUCAACUUAAACGUCACUACACAAUCGAAUAAACAAAGAGUCUAAGCAAUAGCAAAAAACAAAACUAAACAAAGUUCAACAAAUGAAUUCGCUCAGGCUAUUCGCAGCAAAAAGAGCUCAUGAACAAACUAACGAAAACGGAAAUAGAGAGCACAUGAUAGAAGUCAACCAGACAACAACAAGCAGGAAAACAAUUAAACCGAAAUCAACAUGUCAAAAUCCUACCCCUACUCAGUCCAUGGCCUUAUUCAUCAUAUGUUUCUUUUGUCUGUCAAAUUUGUAUAAGCAGUGAUUAUGAUUAAUUGGAUUCAAUCAAGUAGAAAUAAAACUAGAAGCAAGAAGAGAACAGGGGUCUACCGAAAAAGGAAAAAAACUGUGAGAGUGCAUUCAGGGUUGAAAGUAGCUUGAAGAAAAUGGCAUGGUGGUAGUUAACUUGUUUGAUGAUGAAGAAAUAAAAAGGAAAAUAAAAGAAAACUUGAAUAAGAUGAGGACACUUGAAGCUUAAACCCUAGGAUUUUAUUUUGAAAAUAGUUUUUUUUUUGAAAUUCCUUAGGAAUCAAAGAAACUUGUAAAAGCUUGUACAUUAUGUAGUUUUGUUUCAAGAUGUAAAAUAUAGCUUAAAAGGAUAUGAUAGCAUUUAUGGAGACAUCAGAUUUGAUUUUUCAGAACAUAUGUUGAAACAUUUAAGGAAACAUUUGAUUUUAUUUUGUAGAAGACUUUGCAGACGGUAUGUCGAAACAUUUAUCGAGACAUCAGAUUUGAUUCUGCAGAAGAUUA